CAAUAGUGAGGCAAAGGCAGCCUCCAGCACACGUUUUUGUUCGAAUUGUACGUGUAUUUAUUUAUUUAUUAUCUCGUUGUUCGUACUCAAACAACUUGACACUGAGAAAGAAACUGCCAACCGCCACAAGAAUGAACAUAAAAAGAGUUUGGCAAACGAAAAGCUGAGGAGGAGAACUGAAUGAGAAUUGAUGAUUUAAUGGCUGAUGGACAGAGACGCUUACACAGAAAAAAAAAUGACGAAUGCCGCGAUAAGAGCGUGUACAAAGCGACGGCGAAAUCCAGAAUGAGCGAAAAAAAAGUAAAUGUGAGGCAAAUGGAGCUGGAGAGCGCACAAUGGGCCAGGAACGAUAAUAAAUGUUCAAUAUUGCCAUUUCAUAUAAUUAGACAUUAAUUUAAUU